rnacentral:rRNA from 1 species
AGUGAACGCUGGCGGUAGGCCUAACACAUGCAAGUCGGACGGCAGCACAGAGGAGCUUGCUCCUUGGGUGGCGAGUGGCGGACGGGUGAGGAAUACAUCGGAAUCUACUCUGUCGUGGGGGAUAACGUAGGGAAACUUACGCUGAUACCGCAUACGACCUACGGGUGAAAGCAGGGGAUCUUCGGACCUUGCGCGAUUGAAUGAGCCGAUGUCGGAUUAGCUAGUUGGCGGGGUAAAGGCCCACCAAGGCGACGAUCCGUAGCUGGUCUGAGAGGAUGAUCAGCCACACUGGAACUGAGACACGGUCCAGACUCCUACGGGAGGCAGCAGUGGGGAAUAUUGGACAAUGGGCGCAGGCCUGAUCCAGCCAUACCGCGUGGGUGAAGAAGGCCUUCGGGUUGUAAAGCCCUUUUGUUGGGAAAGAAAUCCAUCUGGUUAAUACCCGGGUGGGAUGACGGUACCCAAAGAAUAAGCACCGGCUAACUUCGUGCCAGCAGCCGCCGUAA